UACGAAGGGGGCUAGCGUUGCUCGGAAUCACUGGGCGUAAAGCGCGCGUAGGCGGAUCUUUAAGUCAGGGGUGAAAUCCUGGAGCUCAACUCCAGAACUGCCUUUGAUACUGGGGAUCUCGAGUCCGGAAGAGGUGAGUGGAACUCCGAGUGUAGAGGUGAAAUUCGUAGAUAUUCGGAAGAACACCAGUGGCGAAGGCGGCUCACUGGUCCGGUACUGACGCUGAGGUGCGAAAGCGUGGGGAGCAAACAG
rnacentral:rRNA from 1 species